CUCUCUCUCUCUCGCGCGCC
rnacentral:miRNA from 1 species